AGUGCCAGACAGGUCCCAGACCCCUCCCUCAGCAUCCUUAUACUUCCAGGAAUGAUCACCUUCUCUCAGGAUUAUGUCGCAAAUGAACUCACUCAGAGCUUCUUCAACAUCACUCAGAAGAUUCAGAAGAAAGUCACAGGCUCUCGGAACUCCACUGAGCUCUCGGAGAUGUUUCCUGUCCUCCCCGGUUCCCACUUGCUGCUCAAUAACCCUGCUCUGGAGUUCAUCAAAUACGUGUGCAAGGUGCUGUCCCUGGACACCAACAUCACAAACCAGGUGAAUAAGCUGAACCGAGACCUGCUUCGCCUGGUGGAUGUUGGCGAGUUCUCCGAGGAGGCCCAGUUCCGAGACCCCUGCCGCUCCUACGUGCUUCCUGAGGUCAUCUGCCGCAGCUGUAACUUCUGCCGUGACCUGGACCUCUGUAAAGACUCUUCCUUCUCAGAGGAUGGGGCGGUCCUGCCUCAGUGGCUCUGCUCCAACUGUCAGGCGCCCUACGACUCCUCUGCCAUCGAGAUGACGCUGGUGGAAGUUCUGCAGAAGAAGCUGAUGGCCUUCACCCUGCAGGACCUGGUGAGUAGUGUGUGCCGCCCAUCCUUGUGCCCUGGAGUCCGCAGAGGGGUUUCUGUGCACUCCCGGGAGCCGGGGUGUGUGCAGGUCCUGAGGCAUGCCCUGGUGUCCUCCAAGGGGCCUGCCCUGCAGACCAGUCCAUGCCCUGAGCCUAGUGGACUGUUCUAUCCACGCUGGUUGAGCACCUGCCUUGGGUCAAGAGCUGGCCUUGUGGGUGCUUUGUUCUGGGGGAAGGAGGCAGACACUCCCAAGUGUGAAGAGAAGGAAAGGAGGAAGAGGGGGUUGCACAGCUCGGCCACAGGAAGGUCUUGCCGAGGGGCAUCUGAGCAGAGGCUGGGGGACGCGCCAAGCUGCCGUGUGGUGGUGCACGGCGUCCAGGCCUGCAGGAUGGAGGGAGUGAGCAGGGCCUGGAGGAGGCCUCAGGACUGGGCGUCUGGGGUGGGAUGAGGUCGUGCAUUUUACUCAUAACCGAGGGCUGGCUGCGCACAGCGGGGGCUCAAGGCUUACUGAUGGGCCCACGAAUGUGUCUCGCGAGCCUGUGAAGAAGCAGCAGGCAGGUCUGGCCGGCGCCCAUCGGGGCUGCUCCCUUUCAGGUCUGCCUGAAGUGCCGCGGGGUGAAGGAGACCAGCAUGCCUGUGUACUGCAGCUGCGCGGGGGACUUCGCCCUCACCAUCCACACCCAGGUGGGCUCUCCCUCAUCUGCCUCGGCUCAGCCUGGCCUCCUUGGCCUCCUCUCUGAGUGGACUGGGGUCUCACUGUGCCUGUUUAUUCCUGCAGGUCUUCAUGGAACAGAUCGGAAUCUUCCGGAACAUUGCCCAGCACUACAGCAUGUCGUACCUCCUGGAGACCCUGGAGUGGCUUCUGCAGAAGAACCCACAGCUGGGCCGUUAGCCAGCCCUGGGCCCCGGGUGCCUCUGCGUCUGUACCAGGCCUGAUGCCAAGGCCACAUCCCCGUGCUUCCAGUGACCAGACCACUGACCACUCUGACUGUCCAAACUUGUGACCCCAGGCCAGGGAUCAGGGAGGAAAC
rnacentral:sRNA from 1 species